GUAUAAAUAACUUGUUAAAAAUAAAAUUAAUAGAAGAAUAGUAUGAAAAAUAUUUUUAUUUUGUAUUUAAUGAAGUAAAGUUAAACGAAAAAUUAGGUUAUAUACUAUAGUAAAAAGUACUGUGAAGGAAAGUUAAUAAAAUUUUAUAAAGUAAAGGUUAAAUUUUGUAUCUUGUGUAUCAGAGAAGAUUUAUAUCAGUUAAGUAUUUUAGUUAUCUCGAAAUAAAGUAUAGCAAUUUUUAUAAAAUUUUUUUUGUAGAAAAAAAAAAUUGAAUAUAAAAUUAAAAGUGAAAUACUAGUUGAGCUUUAUUAUAUCUAGUUUUUUUAAAAAUAAAUUUAAUUUAAUUUUUGUAAUUAAUAAUUAUAAAAUUAAAUGAUAGGAGGGAUCAGCUUCUUAUGAAAAAUAAAAUAAAAAAGUUUAAUAAAGAAUAAUUAUAAAUUAGGCUUAGAAGUAGCUAUAUUUAUAAAGUGUUUUAACUAGAUUAUAAUUAUUAAAAUAUUUUUAUAAACUUUUUUGUGGUAUAAAAAAAUUUAUCUUAGUAAAAAAGAAUAAAAUAUAAUAAUUUUAUUAGUAAAAUUUGAUUAGAAGCAAAAAAGUGAAAUAUUUAAAAAAUUUUAAUAUAUAAGAAAAAUUAAUAUAAAGGAAUUCGGCAAAAAGUUUCUUUGCCUGUUUAUCAAAAACAUGUCUUUUUGUAAAUAAGAAAAGUCAAGCCUGCCCACUGAUAAUUUUUUUAAGGGCCGCGGUAUUUUGACCGUGCGAAGGUAGCGUAAUCAUUAGUUUUUUAAUUGGAAUCUUGUAUGAAUGGUUAGACAAAGGAAAAUCUGUCUCUUUAUUAAACAUUAAAUUUAACUUUUAAGUGAAAAGGCUUAAAUAAUUUAAAGGGACGAUAAGACCCUAUAAAGCUUAAUAUAACUGGUUAUUUAAUUAAAUUAAAGAAUAAAAAUUUUUUAGCAUAAAUUAUUUUAUUGGGGCGAUAAAGGUAAAAUGUUUAAUAACUGCUUAAUAAACAAAACACGUUAGUUGAAAUAAUUUCUUUAAGGAUCCCUGUUAUGGAUUAUAAGUUUAAGUUACUUUAGGGAUAACAGCGUUAUUUUUUUUGAGAGUACAUAUCGAAAAAAGAGUUUGCGACCUCGAUGUUGAAUUAAAAUUUCUU
rnacentral:rRNA from 1 species